rnacentral:lncRNA from 10 species
GAAGGGGAACAUCACACACCGGGGCCUGUUGUGGGGUAGGGGGAUGGGGGAGGGAUAGCAUUUGGAGAUAUACCUAAUGUUAAAUGACGAGUUACUGGGUUCAGCAUACUAACAUGGCACAUGUAUACAUACGUAACUAACCCGCAUGUUGUGCACAUGUACCCUAAAACUUAAAGUAUAAUUUAAAAAAAAAAGAUUUCUACCCACUUGUUCCCAGACCUCUAUGUCUAGCAUGCCUUCUUCCAGAACUAUGGGUUAUGGGAAAGUUUGCUUUAGGUCCCUUAAUUGAGCCUGUGAAACUGAGGCUCUGCUAGCUUUAAGCAGCUAUUUCAAUAUUUUUAUAUACUGUUUCUGUUGAGCUGAUAACUGUUGUCUCAUGAUGAAACCCUAACCUGAAAAUUCCCUCAAACUUGGAAAUCCUGAGUGGGCACCAAUGACUUACUGACUGCACAGUCUCUUCACCUUCAUUUUUGAAGGUUCCAUUGUGAUCUGUUGCAGCAUUCCUCACAUGGAGCACCAGCUGCAGGGUUUGUCCCACAGACCCUGGCUGAGCAACAGAUGAAAGGAGUAGUCAGACACAGGUAUCCCGUGAGAGUAGCUAGGGGACUGCCUGGCACUAGGUGGCGGAAGAGUCAGCAGCCCUGAUAAGCCAGAGCUGCAUGUAUUUAUUCAAUACUGGUAUAAUGUCAAAGGCCUGGAACCAACACAAUCUGUGAGUAAUUAACACUGUUGUCCCCUCUUGCAGGGAGCAGUCUUGUGCGCGGAUGAUCAAAGGUUGGUCUCUGGAUGACAUAAGUAAAUAAGCUUUUCUAGAUAGAUUUCUUUACACUCCCUUGUUACGGAGUCCUCGCCCUUAGCGUCAGGGUGAGAGAAUUAGCUGCCUUCAGCUUUAUUCUCUCCGGAAGCUUUUGCAAGACCUUCCCACCUUUCAAGAAGGUUUGCGUCUUUCCUUAUAGCUUCUCCUACCACUCUGACCGAUCUCCUACACAACAUGAUGCUAUGGAAGGAGCUAAGGACCUGGGACCAGAAUGAAAUCACAUUCUUCCUACCCCAGUUAGUUGCUUCCACAUCUCACCCCAGUCAUUUAACAUUAGCAGAAUCUCAGCUUCCUCAUCUGAAAAUGGGAAGGUGGUAAUCACCACAGAGGACUUGUAAGAAUUUGUUCAUAUAUUUUAACAGUUAAAUGAAUGGAUUCUCAAGCCAGGCUGUCUAAGUUCAAACCUUCUUCUAUCACAUUUCAGCUCUGUGGCCCUGGGAAAGUUAAUUCUUCUCUCCCUACUUCAGUUUUCCUAUCUGUAAAAUGGUGAUAAUAAUAGGAUUCAUCUCAUGGGGUUGUCACAAGGAUUAAAUGAAAUAAUACUUGUAAAGCUCCUGGAAUAGUGGCUGGUACAGAGUAAGCACUCAGUAACUGGAAGAGUUAACAUUUACUGUGCAUUAUAGUCCUUAGCACAGUGGCUGGCAAACUAUGCAAUUCCUUCUGUGAAAACCUCUAUCACCCCUAUAGAUUAAGACAUCGUGUACAAUAUAUGACCCUUCCCCAAAUGGUUCAAAAUGUGUCUAUUAUGAGCAUCAAUUUGUGCCGGGCACAGAGGUCAUAUAUGCUUGCCAUCCCCUAUCACUUCCAUGUAACAUGAGCAAAAUGGCUGCAGCAUCCCAAAGAGAACAGUAACUUUGAGCUAUUCAGUACAGACUUCUAUAGAAGUAUCCUUGGUUCCUUCCGCCCUUUCUGUCUUCCACCAGUUUCAUGGGUCUUUGUUUCUAUUUCUAUUUUUUGAGAUCUCUUUCUCUCUUCUCAUGAUCCAGACUGUGCCACAAGACAUCUUUGAGAGGCCUGAGACUGGCUAGCCCAGGAGAGGCUUGAAAAUGGCUUAGAUGAAGCCAAGACCAAGUGGGAUAUACCCCUUACUCAGCUCCUUUUUCCCCCUAGGGUUAUUUAAAUUGGAGUUCUCUUAUGGCACUUAGUUUAUGACUUUGUGUGCAGCCGUGCUGUGAUUCAGAGACUGUUAAGUUUUUUCCAAGGUUAGUCCCUACUAGAACAGACACCUUUGUGGUCAAGGGCUGGGUCUUUUCACAUUUUCAUGGUCAUGAUUUCUUUUAACGGUGUCAUCAAAAGAAGUUUCAAAAAGCAACUUCCUAACAGGGUUCCAAUGAAUAUUUGAGACCUGCGUGGCUGGAGUGCUACGAAGAGGAUGUAGUUGGAAUGGAGAAAUUUCUGGAUAGUCCUGAAUUUCCAUUAUUCAAAGUUGGCCUAGAAUAAGACAGGCUCAGGUCUGGCCCUCACCCACUUAUCCACUCAUCUCACAUCAUAUGUCCCUAGCCCUUUAUCAUCAAGACUCACUGGCUCUCUUUAAGAGCUGCAAAUAUUCCACUUUGCACAUGAUGGUCCCACUGUCUUGAGUGGUUCCAUCCUCAUCAACCCCCCAGCUCACUUUUACCAAGUUAACUCCCUUUAUGCACCUUUGAGAGCUUACUUCAGUCACCACUUUCUCAGGGAAUCUCCUCUAAUCUCCUUCAUGUGAUAAAAUUCUUUUAUUUCUAGUAUUCUUAUAGCACCUUUACCUCCCCUUCAGGAAACUUAAUACUUAACACAUUUGCUCAUGUAAUUGACUGGUAUCACUGUCACCCUCCCUCUAGAUGAUAAGCUCCAUGAAGGCAGGGCUUGUGUCUAUUUUUAUUCACCACUGCAUCCUUAGUGCCUACCACUUAAUAGGUACUCAGUAAAUAUUUUGAAUGAAUAAUUUGAAAUUAAUGUGGACAUUUAAAUACAUUCACAAUAAUUUACUGAACAUCUACUAUGGGGAAAAUGUGUGAGGCUUAUGGAGAACAAGAAGAAAGGAAAAUACUAGGAGUCACAAAGGUGCCAAUAACAUAAAUGAGGUUGCGGGGUGAGGAUUGCAGAGUAGACUAAGGAGCAGGCCAAGAGAAUAUGGAAAUUGAUUGAUGUCAUAAAACAAUGCACAUAGGAUAGAAUUGGCUUCAUUAACGAGGGUGAAGGAAUGCAGGUGGGGCUGAUAAGAUGAAUUGAUUUGUUGCAAUGUCAAAUUUGUGGCAUAGUUUAGUAAGAGUCCAUUAAUUAUCUAUUGAUGUAUAACAAUCACUUUCAAACAUAGUUUCUUAAAAUAGUUAUUACCUUAUAAUUUCAGUGAGCAUGGAUUCAUUGGGUUCUUUGCUCUGGGUCUCUCACAAGGUUGAGUGCAAUUUACUGAAUACUUAUGUCUCACCAAAAUUCAUAUGUUGAAAUUCUAAUCCCCAACGUAAUGGUAUUUGGAGAUACAGACUUUGGGAGGUGAUUAGUUCAUAAGUGCAAAGCCCUCAUGAAUGGGAUUUGUGCCCUUAUAAGAGAUAACCUAGAGAGCUAGCAGUGCCUUUCACCAUGUGAGGACACUGCAAAAAGGCUCUGUCUGUGAACCAGAGAGCAGGCCCUUAUCAGACACUGAAUCUGCCAUCACCUUGCUCUUGAACUUCUCAGCCUCUAGAACUAUGAGAAAUAAAUUUGUGUUGUUUGCAGGCUACCCAAUUUCUGGUAUUUGUUAUAGUAGCCUGAAUGGACUAAGCUGCUGGGCUUAAUAGUCUCAUCGGAAGACUUGACUGGAGAAUUAUCCAUUUCUAAGCUCACAUGGUUGGCAGGAUUUAGUUCUCCUGAGCUUUGGAUGAAGGCUUUGGUUGCCUACUGACUGAUGGCCAGAUGCUUCUUUCAGUUCCUUGCUGUGUGGGCCUCUUCAUAGGGUAGUUCACAACAUGGUAGCUGGCUUCAACAGAAUGAGCAAGUGAUAGGGCAAAGGAGAGUGCCAGUGAGGGAGUGAGAGCAAGACAGAAGUCACAGCUUUUAACCCUUAUCUUGGAAGUGACAUCCUAUCAUUUUUUGCCAUAUUCUGUUAGUUAGAAGCAACUCACUAGAUCCCAACCACACUCAAGGCGAGGAGAUUAUACAGCAGACAGAGAUCACUGGGGGUCAUUUCAGAUUCUGCCCACCACAGUCUAUGAUUGCUAUUGCCAGUUAGAAUUGGAAAGAAGAGCAACAUUUUUAUAUUUCAAGGGUUAUGAAUUGUGUUAUUUUUAAGUAGCAGGCAAAAGGGACAAGGUAAAUUGAGAGAGUAUUGCCCACACUCUUAUAUAUUGUGGAAAGAAAACUGCUGUGAUAAAACACUACUUUCGGCUUGAAUCUUGGCUUAGGAAGUCUCUCCCAGACAGGAGAGUAAAUCAUGAUAAAGAUGGAAAUUUAGAGAAGAAAGGCAGGAUUUUACAUAUAACUCAUGUUCUGAGACCAGGGAUAAGAUGUUAGAACAAAGUUAAAAAUUUCCUUGUUCCCAGCCCUCACAAGAUUCCUCCCACACUCCAACACUCAGCAACUACUUGGCCCUUUUCCAGCCUCACCUGGAAGUCAAGAACUGUGUCGCAUUAAUGUUCAUUUGGGUAUUUGUUGUUUCCCAAAGACUGCAAGACAUACCUCAUUUUAUUAUGCUGUGGUUUAUUGCACUUCACAGAUAUUGCUUUUUUCUUCUUCUUCUUCACAAAUUAAAGGUUUAUGGUAAUCCUGUGUUGAGCAAGUCUAUUGGAGUGAUUUUUCCAACAACAUGGGCUCAUUUUGUGUCUAUGUGUCACAUUUUUAUAAUUCUUGUAAGAUUUCAAGCUUUUUCAUUAUUAUUAUAUCUGUUAUGGUGAAUGUUAUUGCUCAUUGACAAUGCACCUAGUCACUCAAGAACUCUUAUGGGGAUGAACAAGAAAAUGAAUGUUGUUUUCAUGCCUGCUAAUGCAAUAUGCACUCCUCAGCCCAUGGAUCAAGGAGCAAUUUUGACUGUCAAGUCUUCUUAUUUAAGAGAUACAUUUCAAAGUUAUAGCUGCCACAGAUAGUGAUUCUUCUGAUGGAUCUGAGCAAAGUAAAUUUAAAACCUCUGGAAAGGAUUAAACAUUGUCAAUGACAUUAAGAACAUUCAUGAUUCAUGGGAGGAGGUCAGAAUACUAAUAUUAACAGGAGUUUGGAAGAAGUGGAUUCACUUAUGAUGAGUUUAAGUGGUUCAAGAUUUCAGUGGAGGCAGUAAUUGCUGAUGUAGUAGAAAUAGCAAAAGAACUAGUGGAGCCUGAAGAUGUGACUGAAUUGCUGCAAUCUCAUGAUAAAACUUGAACAGGGGAAGAGUUGCUUCUUAUGAAUAAGCAAAGAAAGUGGUUUCUUGAGAUGGGAUCUAUUCCUGGUUAAGAGGCUGUGAACAUUGUUGAUAUGGCAACAAAAGAUUUAGAAUAUUCCAUAAACUUAGUUGAUAAAGCCAUUGCAGAAUUUGAGAGGAUUGCCUCCAAUUUAGAAAGACGUUCUACUGUGGGUAAAAUGUUAUCCAACAGCAUUUCAUGCUACAGAUAAAUCUUUCUGAAAGGAAGAGUCAAUCAAUAUGGCGAACUUAAUUGCUGUUUUAUUUUAAGAAAUGGACAUGGAUGAAGCUGGAAACCAUCAUCCUCAGCAAACUAUCACAAAGACAGAAAACCAAACACCACAUAUUCUCACUCAUAGGUGGGGAUUGAACAAUGAGAACACUUGGAUACAGGGUGGGGAACAUCACACACUGGGGCCUGUCGAGGAGUGGGGGGCUGGGGGAAGGAUAGCAUUAGGAGAAAUACCUAAUGUAAAUGAUGAGUUGAUGGGUGCAGCAAACCAACAUGGCACAUGUAUACCUAAGUACAUGUGUACCUGCACGUUG